GCGGAGGGAUCAUUAAAGAGUUCUAUAACUCCCAAACCCAUGUGAACAUACCUAACGUUGCCUCGGCAGGUCGCACCUACCUUGUAGCACCCUACCCUGUAGGGCCUACCCGGGAGGUGCGGGUAAGCCUGCCGGCGGCCCACCAAACUCUGUUUGAUAUUGAAUUCUGAACCUAUAACUAAAUAAGUUAAAACUUUCAACAACGGAUCUCUUGGUUCUGGCAUCGAUGAAGAACGCAGCGAAAUGCGAUAAGUAAUGUGAAUUGCAGAAUUCAGUGAAUCAUCGAAUCUUUGAACGCAUAUUGCGCCCAUUAGUAUUCUAGUGGGCAGGACCGUUCGAGCGUCAUUUCAACCCUUAAGCCUUCGUUGCUUAGUGUUGGGAGCCUACGGCAACGUAGCUCCUCAAAGUUAGUGGCGGAGUUGGUUCACACUCUAGACGUAGUAAUUUUUUAUCUCGCCUAUUAGUUGGACUAAUCCCCUGCCGUAAAACCCCCAAUUUAUCAAGGUUGACCUCGAAUCGGUUCAGACAAACUCGCUAAAUUGAAGCAUCUUAGUCAGCGAAGGAAAAGAAACCAACAGGGAUUGCCCUAGUAACGGCGAGUGAAGCGGCAACAGCUCAAAUUUGAAAUCUGGCCCUCGGGUCCGAGUUGUAAUUUGUAGAGGAUGCUUUUGGCGCGGUGCCUUCCGAGUUCCCUGGAACGG
rnacentral:rRNA from 1 species